rnacentral:lncRNA from 1 species
AUGCAAUAUGUUGAAACUUGUAUUAAUUCAAAAGCAUGGCAUCACAAAACAAUAACAUUGGACCGAGCAUGUAAGGAAGGCGGCUGGCAAGAAUCUUGGGGGACAUAAGCAACAUCAUCACGGCAGUAAUGUGGGGGACCCCUAAUAUCAUUGUUUUCGGAAAAAAAAACACAACAGUAGGUGACAGAAGGCAAUUGACGGCAAUUAUAAAGCAACAUUGGGGGAUGAAUUAGAUAAAAAGAUAUGUCCAAUGAGCUAGUGGUGGAGUGGUAAGGGAGAGAUCUUGUGUUCCAAGUGACCCAAGUUCAAUUCCUACCCCUAGCAUUUAGUUUCUGCGGCACCUGGUGAUGAUGGGAGACUAAGCGAGCAGGCGGCGAUCGCUAGUUCGAUCCUUGAACUGAGCGGGUUUUACCUCACCGCACUGUCGUGCCUUCGGGCGAGUGUUCAUGGGCUUCGGCCCUAGGUGAGGGUUUUCCCCGGUUUGAAAGACGAGUGUAUCCCGAUGUGGUGAAUUUCGCCAGUAACCCAUUUGGAGUAUUCGUUGGCCGUUAAAAAAAAGAUAAAACGGUAUGGCUGCUGCUAAUUCUUAUUAUUACUGGAGAGUGGGCCGUGAAGAUCAUAUCAUAUCCACAUAAUUCCUAAUCAACAUCAGUGACAUAUAUGGAAGUGGAUGAUUCCUAUUGGGCUUUGGAUGAUCUUUCAGAAUGAACACUUAAAACCUAAUGAAUUCUAAUAUUACUUGGACGCAAAGGAUGAGGAUGUAAUAUAUACAUCAGACGUGAGGGGGGACGCACGAAUAUCAGACGCACGAAGUCAACAGCCGGCGAUGACACGAAUUUUGGAGUUCUUUGGCACCAUUGAAGGCUGUUGAAGCAUCUUGGAGGCGUGGAAUCAUUCGGGUAACAUCUUGGAGCAUUCGGGAGUGAAGAUUCAGGUUUUAUCAUCCUAUAUUCUUCGUUUUUCGUUUGUUCUUUAUUGUUGCAAGAUGAAUUCAGAAUAUAUAUUGAUUUUGAUUAUGUUCUUGACCAUGUUUUCCGGCUAAACUUCAUAAACUACCUAGGCUAAUGACAAUAGUUAAAUAAAGUUUGAUUCUUUAUUCG